ACGACAGACGCUGGCGGCGUGCCUAUACAUGCAAGUCGAGCGAGUCCCUUCGGGGGCUAGCGGCGGACGGGUGAGUAACACGUAGGCAACCUGCCUCUCAGACUGGGAUAACAUAGGGAAACUUAUGCUAAUACCGGAUAGGUUUUUGGAUCGCAUGAUCUGAAAAGAAAAGAUGGCUUUUCGCUAUCACUGGGAGAUGGGCCUGCGGCGCAUUAGCUAGUUGGUGGGGUAACGGCCUACCAAGGCGACGAUGCGUAGCCGACCUGAGAGGGUGACCGGCCACACUGGGACUGAGACACGGCCCAAACUCCUACGGGAGGCAGCAGUAGGGAAUUUUCCACAAUGGACGAAAGUCUGAUGGAGCAACGCCGCGUGAACGAUGAAGGUCUUCGGAUUGUAAAGUUCUGUUGUCAGGGACGAAUACGUACCGUUCGAACAGGGCGGUACCUUGACGGUACCUGACGAAAAAGCCACGGCUAACUACGUGCCAGCAGCCGCGGUAAUACGUAGGUGGCAAGCGUUGUCCGGAUUUAUUGGGGCUUAAAGCGCGCGCAGGCGGCUAUGUAAUCGGGUGUUAAAGCCCGGGCUCACGCCGGUU
rnacentral:rRNA from 1 species